GAGGACGGCAUGUCUGGACAUGAACACAAGGUUCGGUCAAGAAACCUUUUCUCUCUAUGUUGACACUGCCUUUAUUUUCUAUCUAUUUUACUCAUUUUUUUACUUUUCCUAUGUUUUCUUUUACUUCAUUUACUUCCAUUACUCUAUUUUGUUGUGUGACAAUGUUUCUACGUGAAGCACUUUGAGUCUGCCUCGUGUAUGAAAAGUGCUAUAUAAAUAAAGUUGCCUUUCCUUGCCUUUAUUAUCGGUUAUAUUAAUAGGCAGUCUGCAACCAGUCAGCAGCAAUAGUGAGACAGUUGAAUUACUUUAAAUAAGUGCAGUUUCACCUGGGACAUUAAGUCCUGAAAAGAAUGUUUAUGUUUGCAGCAGGCAGCUGAUUGGUUGGGUACCCGAAUGGAAGUCAUAUUUUAAUAUUAGGUAUGAUUAAUAUAAUUAGGUAAGUAUAUCUUGAUACGGUUAAAGUGUCAGAUAGCAAUUUUUACAAAGGAUCUCUGCCUUUAAUAGUGUGUGUGUAAGGAAAACCGUUAUUCAAAUGUCAAGCUGAGCUCACAGCUUACAAACAACAAGAACACAGAAUUCAUCUGUAAAGCUUGAAAAAUCAAUAGAUUGCCUUUAAGCUGAGAUAAAGAAGGGCAUCUUCUGAAACAGAUCUUUUGUAUGGUUUAAGUUGUAAAACAUUUAUUGAAUGAAUCUCCCAGUUGGACCUGUCUGGCUGCCAACAUACUCCAGUCUAAAACCUUGUACUACAAUACACCCACUUGCAAAUCUAUGUCCCCUGGUCUGCCAGAGAUUUGAUUUGUCAGAGUGGCUUGUGGGCAUGUUCACCGUGCUCAAAGCUCUGGGUUGCUUAGCUUUCAUUUCCCUUCCACCCCGUAGAUAAAUAAAAUAGAGCGUGCGGAAACGGCCUUGUUUUUACCCCGAGAAUAACCCCCGCCCCUUUUGAACCGAGAU